rnacentral:rRNA from 1 species
UACGAAGGGGGCUAGCGUUGCUCGGAAUCACUGGGCGUAAAGCGCACGUAGGCGGACUCUUAAGUCGGUGGUGAAAUCCUGGAGCUCAACUCCAGAACUGCCUUCGAUACUGAGAGUCUCGAGUCCGGGAGAGGUGAGUGGAACUGCGAGUGUAGAGGUGAAAUUCGUAGAUAUUCGCAAGAACACCAGUGGCGAAGGCGGCUCACUGGCCCGGUACUGACGCUGAGGUGGCGAAAGCGUGGGGAGCAACAGG